rnacentral:rRNA from 1 species
UACGAAGGGGGCGAGCGUUGUUCGGAAUUACUGGGCGUAAAGGGCGCGCAGGCGGCCUUAGAAGUCAGAUGUGAAAGCCCCGGGCUCAACCUGGGAAUGGCAUUUGAUACUCUGAGGCUGGAGUACGGGAGAGGAGAGUGGAAUUCCCAGUGUAGAGGUGAAAUUCGUAGAUAUUCGCAAGAACACCAGUGGCGAAGGCGGCUCACUGGCCCGAUACUGACGCUGAGGUGCGAAAGCGUGGGGAGCAAACAGG